ACCGGGGAAGAAACGCUGCAAGUUAACAGCUUGCAGCCUGACUUAACCCGGAGAGGAAGCAGUGGCUAACUCUGUGCCAGCAGCCGCGGUAAUACAGAGACUGCAAGCGUUAUUCGGAUUCACUGGGCGUAAAGGGUGCGCAGGCGGCCAAGUGUGUGAGGCGUGAAAGCCCGAUGCUCAACAUCGGAAUUGUACCUCAAACUACAUGGCUAGAGCAUUGGAGAGGGUAGCGGAAUUCACGGUGUAGCAGUGAAAUGCGUAGAUAUCGUGAGGAACACCAGAGGCGAAGGCGGCUACCUGGACAAUUGCUGACGCUCAGGCACGAAAGCGUGGGGAGCAAAAGGGAUUAGAUACCCCUGUAGUCCACGCCCUAAACGGUGCACACUAGGUCUUGGCGGAUUCCGACCCCACCAGGGCCCAAGCUAACGCGUUAAGUGUGCCGCCUGAGGACUACGGCCGCAAGGACUA
rnacentral:rRNA from 1 species